GCCCGGGUAGCUCAAUCGGUAGAGCGUGUGGCUCUUAACCUCAAGGUCGUGGGUUCGAGCCCCACCUCGGGCU
rnacentral:tRNA from 3 species